GUUCCUGUGGCUCAGUUGGUAGAGCAUGGUGUUUGCAAUGCCAGCAUGGUGUGUGCAACGCCAGGGUUGUGGGUUCGAUUCCCACGGGGGGCC
rnacentral:tRNA from 1 species